AGAGGAGCCGGAGAGGAGGCGUGCGGGUGGGGACUGCGGCGCACUCGAGUCAGCGCACGGGGAUCGCGGCUGUCACUGCGCUCCGAGCAUCCCGGGGCUUCCCGAGUGGACGAGCCCGGCCCUGCGGGAGUUGCGGGUCCAGCCCCAGCCCCCCGCCCCUCUCGCAGCGCUGGUGGAGCCUCACGCCCCGGGCGAGCGUUAGUGAUUUAGCACAAAGCACGUUUCCAAAAAGCCGCGCUCUCGCGCACGCACCUUCUCCCCCCUUUGUUUCGGGGGUCGACCGGCCGCUCUCCUCCCCAAGUCUGAAUUCUUCAGAAGGGGCGGAGGGCCGCCGAGUCUCGGCUGGGAAGAUGCCCUUGGAACUGACUCAGAGCCGGGUGCAGAAGAUCUGGAUCCCGGUCGACCACCGCCCCUCGCUGCCUAGAUCCUGUGGGCCGAAGCUCGCCAACUCGCCCACGGUGAUCGUCAUGGUGGGCCUCCCUGCCCGCGGCAAGACCUACAUCUCCAAGAAGCUGACCCGCUACCUCAACUGGAUCGGCGUCCCCACGAAAGUGUUCAACGUCGGGGAAUACCGGCGGGAGGCCGUCAAGCAGUACAGCUCCUACAAUUUCUUCCGGCCAGACAACGAGGAGGCCAUGAGAGUCCGCAAGCAGUGUGCGCUGGCUGCCCUGAGAGACGUGAAAAGUUACCUCACGAAGGAAGGGGGCCAAAUUGCGGUUUUUGAUGCCACCAACACUACUAGAGAGAGGAGACACAUGAUCCUUCACUUUGCCAAAGAAAAUGAUUUCAAGGUGUUUUUCAUUGAGUCUGUGUGCGAUGACCCUACAGUCGUGGCCUCAAACAUCAUGGAAGUGAAGCUCUCCAGCCCGGAUUACAAAGACUGCAACUCAGCAGAAGCUAUGGACGAUUUCAUGAAGAGAAUUAAUUGCUACGAAGCCAGCUACCAGCCCCUCGACCCUGACAAAUGUGACAGGGACCUGUCCCUGAUCAAGGUGAUCGACGUGGGCCGGCGGUUCCUGGUGAACAGGGUGCAGGACCAUAUCCAGAGCCGCAUCGUGUACUACCUGAUGAACAUCCACGUGCAGCCGCGCACCAUCUACCUGUGCCGGCACGGCGAGAGCGAGCACAACCUCCAGGGCAAGAUCGGAGGGGACUCGGGCCUGUCCAGCAGGGGCAGGAAGUUUGCCAGCGCCCUGAGCAAGUUCGUGGAGGAGCAGAACCUGAAGGACCUCAAGGUGUGGACCAGCCAGCUGAAGAGCACCAUCCAGACGGCCGAGGCCCUGCAGCUGCCCUACGAGCAGUGGAAGGCGCUCAACGAGAUCGACGCGGGCGUCUGUGAGGAGAUGACCUACGAGGAGAUCAGAGACACGUACCCCGAGGAGUACGCGCUGCGGGAGCAGGACAAGUACUACUACCGCUAUCCCACCGGGGAGUCCUACCAGGACCUGGUCCAGCGCUUGGAGCCGGUGAUCAUGGAGCUGGAGCGGCAGGAGAACGUGCUGGUUAUCUGCCACCAGGCUGUGCUGCGCUGCCUCCUGGCCUACUUCCUGGACAAGAGCGCAGAAGAGAUGCCAUACCUGAAGUGCCCCCUUCACGCCGUCCUGAAGCUGACGCCCGUCGCAUAUGGUUGCCGCGUAGAAUCCAUCUACCUGAAUGUGGAGUCGGUGAGCACACACCGGGAGAGGUCAGAGGAUGCAAAGAAGGGACCUAACCCGCUCAUGCGACGCAAUAGUGUCACCCCACUAGCCAGCCCCGAGCCCACCAAAAAGCCUCGCAUCAACAGCUUUGAGGAGCAUGUGGCUUCUACCUCCGCUGCCCUGCCCAACUGCCUACCCCCGGAGGCGCCCACGCAGCUGCCCGGACAAAACGUGAAAGGCUCCCCCAGCAGCGCGGACGCCUCCAGGACGCACUGACGCAGCCCCGCCGCUGUGCCUUCCACUCCUGCAGCUUUGCUCGAGCCCUUGCGCCUGCCCGAGGCCAGCGAUCCCGAAGACUUCGAUCCCGAAGACUUCUCCCCGGGCGGAGGCGGAUUGUGGGCGCUUCGGUGCUGGGUGCUGGCUUGUUCAUCUCGUUUCUGUUCGUUCCCCGCUGGGGAGGUGGAAGUGGCCCCCGAGUCCUAACCUUGCAGGGGGCCUAGAUCCCAGCUGCAGAAGGUUGAGGGACGAUGAAAGCUUUCAAGAGGCUUUUGGUGCAUCUCAGCCUGGAGGUUGCCCGGGUUCCGGAAGAAGCUGGUCCCCGAGUUGGAGAGAGGAGCUGGGAGCUGGACCUGCGGUCAGUCGAGCAGCCGGUGUCACCCACCUUUCCAGGUCCGUGUCCUGACGCGGAAGAUGUGGGACAUUCUGGCUGUGGAGGCGGGAGGAAAUGCUUUGCGGAAAUGGCACAGGCCCUCCCUCCCAGGGGAGGCCCCCGCCUGGAUCUCGGUCUCCUGGCACACGGCUCCGCCCCGCACUUUCUUAGGGCAGAGCCCGCCGCCGCCGCAGAGUCACACCUGCUUCCGGAACUUAGAUGAUUGGGUCUGUGCCCUUGGGGCUGGUGCCCUGGAAGGAUGUGGGAGUCGUUGGGGACCUCAGAGAGACCCCCUCCUACAACGCCCAGAGAGCACGUGUUAGAGUCAUUGCAAGGCUGACCCGGCCGGUGGCGUGGGGGCUCGAGGCUCUGGUCUCCUGCUUCAGGGCGUCCCUGCAUCACCUCCCAGUGACAGUGGCUGGAGCCAGGCCUUGCUGACGGCCACUUCCUCCAAGAGACUGUCCUCUGGUCUCUCCAUCUGCGACGGGCACCUGCUGUAUGUCCUGCGUGGGGCUGGGCUCCUUGGAGGACUCUAGAGAAGAGAAUGUGCUUGCUUGCCUUUGUGGCCCCUGUGGCGUUUGGGGAAGAGGGGUUCAAGCAGAGCUUGUGGACUUGUGGUUCUAAACACCUGUAGUUUCUUCCUGCUGGUUUUCCCCUGUUGGCCCAGGAGAAACGAUUUGGACUCAGCAGCAGACGUUGUCCAAGUGACCCUUUUUCAGGAUCUCUAAAAGCGGUGCCAAAGGUCACCUCUUCUUCCUGCCUUCUCCUUUGGGGCCCCACGUCCCUCCGCCUCUUAGCUUGUGAACAGUCCUUGGGGGUGGAGGGGGACGUUUAGACAGCUGGAGCUGGGGGCGGAGAGGAGCCGUUUUUGUUUUUGUUUUGUUUGAAAGGAGCUUUUAGGAAACGCACGUGUCUGUUUGGGAUUCAGGGGGAAACGCGGGUGCGAGGCAUACGUCCUGUAACCAGGCUUCUGGGUUUCCCACCAAACCGCUCAAAUCCCCGCUUCUCUUCAUCCCUUCAUUGGCCAUCUGCCCAGGUGACACCUGUCUGUCCAUCCCUGGGCAAGACUCGGGUCACUCUCCCCCUUUCCCGCUGUCUGGUUAGGCACUGCGUGUGUGUGUGUGUCUAUGUGUGUGUUGGAUGUAUUUUCAGACGGAGGGGCCCGCAGCUCUUGAGGAGAGCUCUUGUCAUAUUCUCGUCAUUUGUCCCACUUUCUGGCUCCUCCUCUGGCCAUUGGCACCGACUCUGAACUUUGGCUCUUGAGGCUGAUCCAAGUGGGGGCCGAAUGAAGGUGGGUUCGCCCUCGCCUCUGAUGGCCCGCAUCCGUGCCCACACGGAGGAGGCCUGGUCUGACCCUGGUUUGGUUGGCAGGGACCUCGAUGGGGAGGGGAGACGCGGAGAGAGCAGAAGGCUGCAGACUGGAGCCAGGACGGGGCUUGGGAGGAGGGCGGUGUAGACCGGCGGGGGGUGUCUGAGCCGCGGUCGGUCGUGGGGCCUCUGCUGUGCUGGCCAUUGACUCUCACUCCCCUGACCCUCGUCAAAUGCUGGGACCGAUGUUACCUUUGCCUGUUUGUUUUGGGCGGGCUCACCGCCUUCCUUCCUCUGUCCUGAGACUGCGCGCCAAGACCUUCCUUUCGGGGGAAAAGAAAGACUGAACCACGCCAAGGACGUUUUCAUUUCUAAUACUUGAAGUUUAUUUUUUUAUUAUUUUGAUAGCAGAUAUGCUAUUUAUUUAUUUAAUAUGUAUAAGGGAUCCUGAAAACGGAAAGCUGUAUAGAUGGGGUUUCGUUGUGGGUUGGCUUGGGGGCCUUUUACAUGUGACUUCCGACUCUGUGUGUUCUGUAUAAAUUUGUCUGAAUUAAUUACCUGGGAUGAAGCUGUGCCAGCUUUCAAACAGGGGAUGCCUAUUGGAAAUUUGUAUAUUUUGCAGUUGCCAGAACAAUAAAAUUCCUGGUUGAAAU
rnacentral:lncRNA from 1 species